UACCUGCCCAGUGCGAAAUAUUACUGUAAACGGCCGCCCUAGCGUGAGGGUGCUAAGGUAGCGAAAUUCCUUGCCUUUUAAUUGUAGGCCUGCAUGAAUGGUUUAACGAGGGUUUGACUGUCUCUAAAUUUUUUAUUGAAAUUGUAUUGAAGGUGAAGAUACCUUCAUUUAAAAGUUAGACAAAAAGACCCCGUGCAACUUUGAAAACUAGCUUUAUUUAGAAGUAAAAGAUUUUUAGGUGGGGCGCCUAGAAAGUAAGUCUAACCUUUCUGAGUAAUUGAUUCCUUCUGGAUUUGACCCGAUUACAUUCGAUCCUAGGAGAAGUUACGCCGGGGAUAACAGGCUGAUCCUUUAGUAGAGCUCGUAUUGGCUAAAGGGAUUGGCACCUCGAUGUUGAAUCAGGGAUGAUAGCUUCAAGGCGUAGAGGCUUUGAAAGUAGGUCUGUUCGACCUUUAAUACCCUACGUGA
rnacentral:rRNA from 1 species